rnacentral:rRNA from 1 species
AUGGGAGAGCUAGAGAAGGCAACAAACAAUUUCCAUCAAACACGUAUCGUUGGACAUGGAGGGCACGGCAUGGUUUACAAAGGCAUACUAUCCGACCAAAGGGUAGUGGCCAUAAAAAAGUCUAAGGUCAUUGAUCAAGGUGAGAUCAACCAAUUCAUCAAUGAGGUCGCCAUCCUCUCUCAGAUAAACCACAGGAACAUCGUAAAGCUCUUUGGAUGUUGUCUUGAGACAGAGGUACCUCUGUUAGUGUAUGAUUUUAUCCCCAAUGGAUCAUUGUUUGGUAUUCUUCAUUCUGAUUCCGUCACUAGUUGUUUAUCUUGGGCUGACUGCAUAAGGAUUGCUGCGGAAUCAGCAGGAGCUCUCUCAUAUCUCCAUUCCGCAGCUUCGAUAUCGGUCUUCCAUCGUGAUGUGAAAUCAUCCAAUAUACUCUUGGAUGGAAACUACACAGCUAAAGUUGCUGAUUUUGGGGCUUCGAGAUUAGUUUCUAUUGACCAGACUCACAUUGUAACGAAUGUACAAGGGACGUUUGGGUACCUGGAUCCAGAGUAUUACUACACUGGACACUUGAAUGAGAAAAGUGAUGUCUACAGCUUUGGUGUGGUACUCAUUGAGCUACUUAUUAGGAAAGAGCCAAUAUUCACAAGUGAAUCAGGCUCGAAGCAAAAUUUAUCAAAGCAUUUUCUUUCGGUGUUAAAAGCAAGACGGAUUACAGAAAUAGUAGCUGUCCAAGUUCUUGAUGAAGCAACCGAGGAAGAGAUUAGCAGCGUAGCUUCCCUUGCAGAGAUGUGCCUGAGGCUCCGAGGUGAGGAUAGACCUACCAUGAAACACGUGGAGAUGGCUUUGAGGGCUUUGCAAACAAAAAGGUUAAAAUCCUACCAUAUUGAUUCAAUAAAUGGAAAAGAGAAGGAACCAUUUCUAAAUCCAACAAGUGACAAUGAUAGCCCUGACAAGGUGGUUGCUGCUGAUUCCAGUGCCAGUGCUAAUUCUCCAUCUGAAAACAUAAAAACGUGUUAUAGCUUUGAGCAAGAGUGCAUGUCAUAUGAUGGUGUAUCACACUAG